rnacentral:rRNA from 1 species
UCCUACGGGGGGCAGCAGUGGGGAAUUUUGGACAAUGGGCGCAAGCCUGAUCCAGCAAUGCCGCGUGCAGGAUGAAGGCCUUCGGGUUGUAAACUGCUUUUGUACGGAACGAAAAGCUCUGGGUUAAUACCUCGGGGUCAUGACGGUACCGUAAGAAUAAGCACCGGCUAACUACGUGCCAGCAGCCGCGGUAAUACGUAGGGUGCGAGCGUUAAUCGGAAUUACUGGGCGUAAAGCGUGCGCAGGCGGUUUUGUAAGACAGUGGUGAAAUCCCCGGGCUCAACCUGGGAACUGCCAUUGUGACUGCAAGGCUAGAGUGCGGCAGAGGGGGAUGGAAUUCCGCGUGUAGCAGUGAAAUGCGUAGAUAUGCGGAGGAACACCGAUGGCGAAGGCAAUCCCCUGGGCCUGCACUGACGCUCAUGCACGAAAGCGUGGGGAGCAAACAGGAUUAGAUACCCCUGUAGUCUA